ACUGCAAGUUUUACUUGUGACUUUGAUGCUUCGUAGGUGCUUAAAAGUAUUUAGGUGGGUGGUCCGACAUCGCUGCGUCCAGCAGUCCAACACCGCUGCCGGAGGCCGUUCACUGUCGCAAUGCCUACUUUCACCCGCGCCUCCUUCCCAGUCAUCGUGAGUGCUGCUUUGAUUCAGACCUGAUGGAAGAAGGCAGAACCUCUCUCUCGUACGCAGUGAAGAAUACACAGCAGGAUCUGCCCCAGCAAACCACAUGUCACCGGAGGCGCUCUGCCUCUCCUAUGCACCCCCUGCUUCCAUCUCCCUCCACCGCCGCCCUCCCUUACCCCUCCGCAGUUCUUGGCACCACGGCUGUUGCCCCGCACUGGAUCGAUGCGCCGCUAUCGCUCUGCCGCCGCAUACAGAGAGUUCAACGCCGCAACCCCGUCCGUUCAAUCUCGCCGCCAUGGGCGUGCCCCACUCCAACUCCCUCGCAUGUGCUUCCGUGGUGAAACAGUGCAACAAGGAACCGUGGGGGGGGGGGGGGGGGGGGGGGGGGGGGGGUCGAGGACGUCCAGCUCGGCAGUCCAACUCGGCAUGAUUCACGUCAUCGUUGGCCCCAUGUUCGCUGGCAAGGCCACCGCGCUUCUCCGCCAGCACCAGCAGCUGUAAGAUAGAAAUUUUUCUCUCUUGUCUAUCUUGGUUCCCAGGAAAAUUGGGUUGGGAGUCGACAAGCCGGGCAAAAUGUGUUGCUACUUCUACAAUAUCAAAGAUGAUGAGAUUCUGGUCUUGCUCGUCGAGGACCCAAUCACAGGGCAGUCUGUCGCUGCUGCAAUGCAUUAGGAAAAGUUCAAGUUUCCUAUUAGAUUUAGUUCUAUUGGAAAAGGGCCGCCCUCACCGCGCUUAUCCCCGUCACCGGAGGGCCGGCGUGCAGGGGUUGGGCCACAGCCGACAGUUCCGGUCAUCCCUUGCCACUGCUCAAUCUUCUCGCCUAACCCCCUUCCUCCCCGAUCUGCUACUGAUGUACCCCAACUACCACUGGAGCUUCGGGGAGCACUCCUCCGUCCAAGUUGAGCAUUGGGCGCCGUCUGAGUAGAGCACUACACCCCGUCCAAGUUCCCAUCUAAUGUUGAACGUUAAAUUUUGUCAUGUUGAAAUAAUAUAGCGCUGAGCACCCUACAAUUUUUUUUUGCUUGAGCGCUGAGCAAACAGUGGAGCCUGGAGGAGUCACGGGGUCGAGGACCUCUUGCUCAACAGUACAACUUGUUUUGUGCCCGGUCGCUCAAGGAGCUGAGUGCAGGCCGCAGAAAAAAACAUUUGUCGGGUUUUUGACGGCCAAAUAUUAUUGAUAUGGAGAUGAAUAACUAUGCGGAUGUGCUCCUGUUGUUUUUCUGGAGAAAACAAGAUGCCAUGUUUACACAUCCAUAUUUAAUUUUGGAAGGUUCACACAUCCAUAUUAGAGAGAUUCAUUGGACAUAAUUUUGUAAGGUCAGAAAAAGCAAUUGCUCAGUACAUCACAGCAACUCUUCGAUGCAAAAAGGAUGGCUCUUCUCAAGUCAGCAGCUAACCAAACUGGCAACUUCAGGGUAGCUCAGUCAAAUAUGGCAGCUGUGUUGUCGGGUGGUAGGUGCGACAUAUGCCAACGGGUGGCUUAUCAUUGUGGGAGCCAGUAAGACAUCGCCGGUGCCUGGAAACGGGAUGAGGCAAAGACAUGCACGCCGGCGAAUCUUACCCAGGUUCGGGGCUCUUCGUGGAGAUAACACCCCUAGUCCUGCUUUGCGGGGUCUCCACAUGAUCACUAAAUCAACAUAAGUAGCUAUAAGUGGCUCUUUGAGCUGUUCGGCUAGAGGAAGAAGAAGGGCAAGGCUAGUUUUUCUUUUCUCUUUAUGUGGUGUCUAAAACUCUAAGAGAUCAACCCUUUGCAUGGGUGUCCUGGGAGGUUUAUAUAGGCCUACCCCUCAAGGGCACAAUGGUAAUCCGGCUAGAUGCGGGCCCUAGCCGUCAGUGCCUGUAUUCGCCGGCUUCUCCGCCGACCGCUGGGCCCGCCGACUGGUGGGUCUCUCGCCGGCUGCCGGCCUC